rnacentral:misc_RNA from 1 species
GUAGGUGAACCUGCGGAAGGAUCAUUACAGAGUUCAUGCCCUUCGGGGUAGACCUCCCACCCUUGAAUAUAUACCUUUGUUGCUUUGGCGGGCCGCUUCGGCUACUGGCUUCGGCUGGUGAGUGCCCGCCAGAGGACCCAAAAUUCUGAAUUACAGUGUCGUCUGAGUACUAUAUAAUAGUUAAAACUUUCAACAACGGAUCUCUUGGUUCUG